GCAGGCUUAACACAUGCAAGUCGAACGGUAGCAGGAGGAAGCUUGCUUUCUUGCUGACGAGUGGCGGACGGGUGAGUAAUGCUUGGGAAUCUGGCUUAUGGAGGGGGAUAACUACUGGAAACGGUAGCUAAUACCGCGUAAUAUCGAGAGAUUAAAGGGUGGGACUUUCGGGCCACCUGCCAUAAGAUGAGCCCAAGUGGGAUUAGGUAGUUGGUGGGGUAAAGGCCUACCAAGCCUGCGAUCUCUAGCUGGUCUGAGAGGAUGGCCAGCCACACUGGAACUGAGACACGGUCCAGACUCCUACGGGAGGCAGCAGUGGGGAAUAUUGCACAAUGGGGGGAACCCUGAUGCAGCCAUGCCGCGUGAAUGAAGAAGGCCUUCGGGUUGUAAAGUUCUUUCGGUGAUGAGGAAGGUGUUUUGUUUAAUAGACAAGGCAAUUGACGUUAGUCACAGAAGAAGCACCGGCUAACUCCGUGCCAGCAGCCGCGGUAAUACGGAGGGUGCGAGCGUUAAUCGGAAUAACUGGGCGUAAAGGGCACGCAGGCGGAUUGUUAAGUGAGAUGUGAAAGCCCCGAGCUUAACUUGGGAAUUGCAUUUCAGACUGGCAGUCUAGAGUAUUUUAGGGAGGGGUAGAAUUCCACGUGUAGCGGUGAAAUGCGUAGAGAUGUGGAGGAAUACCGAAGGCGAAGGCAGCCCCUUGGGAAUAUACUGACGCUCAUGUGCGAAAGCGUGGGGAG
rnacentral:rRNA from 1 species